AAGAGAUAUUAAUGCACGCAUUGGUAUUCCAAAAGUUCAUAUCAACCUUGCACGGUUCUCAGUCUCAUCUCUGAAAUUCAUAUUUCUUAACAUUUCUUCUUCCUCCCUGAGCGAGUUUGUUGAUUUGAUUAUGGUUUUCUUCCAGAAAAAGUAAAACUGAGAAUUGGAUGGCUCCAUGACUCUCUAAGGCCCAUUUACGUCUCCUCCAGCUUCAAAUUCGAACCGAUUAUACUUGCAAGGAUGGUUUAUGUUAUGGCGGAAGAUGAAUUAAUGGAGAUUGUGCCUAACAUGAGUAUGACCUCUCAAUUUCAUCCGUGAUUUUCUGAAUUUGCCUUUCUGGAAAGCGUUAACAUCGCGCCUUCACU